rnacentral:rRNA from 1 species
GAUGAACGCUGGCGGCGUGCCUAAUACAUGCAAGUCGAGCGAACAGAUAAGGAGCUUGCCCCUUUGACGUUAGCGGCGGACGGGUGAGUAACACGUGGGUACCUACCUAUAGGACUGGAAUAACUCCGGGAAACCGGGGCUAAUGCCGGAUAACAUGUUGAACCGCAUGGUUCUACAGUGAAAGGCGGCCUUGCUGUCACUUAUAGAUGGACCCGCGCCGUAUUAGCUAGUUGGUGAGGUAACGGCUCACCAAGGCAACGAUACGUAGCCGACCUGAGAGGGUGAUCGGCCACACUGGAACUGAGACACGGUCCAGACUCCUACGGGAGGCAGCAGUAGGGAAUCUUCCGCAAUGGGCGAAAGCCUGACGGAGCAACGCCGCGUGAGUGAUGAAGGUCUUCGGAUCGUAAAACUCUGUUAUUAGGGAAGAACAAAUGCGUAAGUAACUGUGCGCGUCUUGACGGUACCUAAUCAGAAAGCCACGGCUAACUACGU